GCGGAGGGCGCCGGAGUCGUCUGCUUUGCCGCCUCCGCGGCUGUCUGCCCUGGAUUUCAGUCUCGUGCUUCCUUCGUCCGCUCGCCGGCGGGUUCGCGCCCCUCUCGAGCCCCUGGUCAGCGAGGCAGGGGAAGGGGUUGGAGGGGGCUGUUGAUCACUGCGCUUAAGUUGUGCUCGGAGCGGCCAUGUCGGCCGGCGAGGUCGAGCGCCUAGUGUCGGAGCUGAGCGGCGGGACCGGAGGGGAUGAGGAGGAAGAGUGGCUCUAUGGCGAUGAAAAUGAAGUUGAAAGGCCAGAAGAAGAAAAUGCCAGUGCGAAUCCUCCAUCUGGAAUUGAAGACGAAACUCCUGAAAAUGGCGUACCUAAACCGAAAGUGACUGAGACUGAAGAUGAUAGUGAUAGCGACAGUGAUGAUGAUGAGGACGAUGUUCAUGUCACUAUAGGAGACAUUAAAACGGGAGCACCACAGUAUGGGAGUUAUGGUACAGCACCUGUAAAUCUUAACAUCAAGACAGGAGGAAGAGUUUAUGGAACUACCGGAACGAAAGUGAAAGGAGUAGAUCUGGAUGCGCCUGGAAGCAUUAAUGGAGUUCCGCUCUUGGAGGUGGAUUUGGAUUCUUUUGAAGAUAAACCAUGGCGUAAACCUGGUGCUGAUCUUUCUGAUUAUUUUAAUUAUGGGUUUAAUGAAGAUACCUGGAAGGCUUACUGUGAAAAACAGAAGAGGAUACGAAUGGGGCUUGAAGUUAUACCAGUUACCUCUACUACAAAUAAAAUUACGGUACAGCAGGGAAGAACUGGAAAUGCAGAAAAGGAAACAGCGCUUCCAUCUACAAAAGCGGAGUUUACUUCUCCUCCUUCUUUGUUCAAGACUGGACUUCCACCAAGCAGGAGAUUACCUGGGGCAAUUGAUGUUAUUGGUCAGACUAUAACUAUCAGCCGAGUAGAAGGAAGGCGACGGGCAAAUGAAAACAGCAAUAUACAGGUCCUUUCUGAAAGAUCUGCCACUGAAGUAGACAACAAUUUUAGCAAACCACCUCCAUUUUUCCCUCCAGGAGCUCCUCCAACUCACCUUCCACCUCCUCCAUUUCUUCCGCCUCCUCCGACUGUCAGCACUGCUCCACCUCUGAUUCCACCACCAGGUUUUCCUCCUCCACCAGGUGCUCCACCUCCAUCCCUUAUACCAACAAUAGAAAGUGGACAUUCCUCUGGUUAUGAUAGUCGUUCUGCACGUGCUUUUCCAUAUGGCAAUGUUGCCUUUCCCCACCUUCCUGGUUCUACUCCUUCAUGGCCUAGUCUUGUGGACACCAGCAAGCAAUGGGACUAUUACUCAAGGAGAGAGAAAGACCGAGACCGAGAGAGAGACCGAGACCGAGAGCGAGACCGUGAUCGAGACAGAGAACGAGAACGCACCAGAGAGAGGGAGAGGGAGCGUGAUCACAGUCCCACGCCGAGCGUCUUCAACAGUGAUGAAGAACGAUACAGAUACAGGGAGUAUGCAGAAAGAGGCUAUGAGCGCCACAGAGCAAGUCGGGAGAAAGAAGAACGACACAGAGAAAGACGACACAGAGAGAAAGAGGAAACCAGACACAAGUCCUCUCGAAGCAAUAGUAGACGUCGCCAUGAAAGUGAAGAAGGAGACAGUCAUAGGAGACACAAGCACAAAAAAUCUAAAAGAAGCAAAGAAGGAAAAGAAGCUGGCAGUGAGCCUGCCCCUGAACAGGAGAGCACUGAAGCUACACCUGCAGAAUAGGCGUGGUCAUGGCCUUCUGUGUAUAGUAGUGCCAGAAGUAGAUACUGUAAAUCUUGUUAUUUUUCUGGAUAAUGUUUAAGAAACUUGCCUUUCAUCUUGUUCUGUUAGUAUGAAAAGUUAAUUUUCUCUUCCAAAAUAAAAGAGUGAGUUUUUCAUGUUAAG
rnacentral:lncRNA from 1 species